AAAAAAAAAAAAGUUAAGAUUCGACCAAAUCUCUGUCAUUUGAACAUUGAUCUGCUCAUAGCGGAAACAUGCAAAUCGAAAGCGCCCUACCUAUUAAAAUCUUAAGUUAUAAUAAAAAAUUCUGGUGUUGAAGUAACCGUACCAAAUUACUUAGUUUCCUUCACUUUCUCAACAACCGGUAAAAAAGAGAGUUUUCCUCCUUCCUUUUAACAAUGACCACCAUUAGACUGCA
rnacentral:misc_RNA from 1 species